rnacentral:ncRNA from 1 species
GAGAACUUUAUUGAUGAAGAAAGGAAUGAAGGGGUAACGCCUCGAAACUUUCUCGCUGAUACUCCCUAACCUCUUGUCGGUGCAAACGGCAAGGGCGACCAUAGCUGGGUAAAGUCGUCAUAAAAACCCGAAGUGCCUCCUAGUAAGGAAACCGAAACCCAAAGGAAGAAAAAUCUGAUGGACUGGUGUAUAUGGCGGGCGGUGAUAUU